rnacentral:rRNA from 1 species
GAUGAACGCUGGCGGCGUGCCUAAUACAUGCAAGUCGAGCGAACGGACGAGAAGCUUGCUUCUCUGAUGUUAGCGGCGGACGGGUGAGUAACACGUGGAUAACCUACCUAUAAGACUGGGAUAACUUCGGGAAACCGGAGCUAAUACCGGAUAAUAUUUUGAACCGCAUGGUUCAAAAGUGAAAGACGGACUUGCUGUCACUUAUAGAUGGAUCCGCGCUGCAUUAGCUAGUUGGUAAGGUAACGGCUUACCAAGGCAACGAUGCAUAGCCGACCUGAGAGGGUGAUCGGCCACACUGGAACUGAGACACGGUCCAGACUCCUACGGGAGGCAGCAGUAGGGAAUCUUCCGCAAUGGGCGAAAGCCUGACGGAGCAACGCCGCGUGAGUGAUGAAGGUCUUCGGAUCGUAAAACUCUGUUAUUAGGGAAGAACAUAUGUGUAAGUAACUGUGCACAUCUUGACGGUACCUAAUCAGAAAGCCACGGCUAACUACGUG